UUACUUGCCUGGUGGGGUCACACCAUGAGCAUGAAGGUGGAUCACCCAGGUCAAGGCUUAGCCAUUGCACUUUAGUUCUGCUGAUCCUUGAGAAUUCCCCAACUGUAGGAAUCUCGACUGCAUAAUUUUGCAGUCAUGGGCUGGAGGUCAGGGAACCAGCUCUGU
ensembl:snRNA U1 U1 spliceosomal RNA